UACGUAGGGAGCAAGCGUUGUCCGGAAUCAUUGGGCGUAAAGCGCGCGUAGGUGGCUUCGUAAGUCCGUUGUGAAAGUCAAAGGCUCAAUCUUUGAAAGCCGAUGGAUACUGCGGAGCUAGAGUACGGAAGAGGCGAGUGGAAUUCCUGGUGUAGCGGUGGAAUGCGCAGAUAUCAGGAGGAACACCAAUAGCGAAGGCAGCUCGCUGGGACGUUACUGACACUGAGGCGCGAAAGCGUGGGGAGCGAACAGG
rnacentral:rRNA from 1 species